AAUCAACGCUGGCGGCGUGCCUCAGACAUGCAAGUCGAACGAUUAAAGCUCCCUUCGGGGAGUGCAUAAAGUGGCGCACGGGUGAGUAACACGUAAGUAAUCUACCCUCGAGUGGGGAAUAACGUCCGGAAACGGACGCUAAUACCGCAUAAUGCAGCGGCACCGCAAGGUGACAGUUGUUAAAGAUUUAUCGCUUGAGGAGGAGCUUGCGGCAGAUUAGCUAGUUGGUAAGGUAAUGGCUUACCAAGGCCGGGAUCUGUAACCGGUCUAAGAGGACGGUCGGUCACACUGACACUGAAUAACGGGUCAGACUCCUACGGGAGGCAGCAGUCGGGAAUUUUGGGCAAUGGGCGAAAGCCUGACCCAGCAACGCCGCGUGAAGGAUGAAGUAUUUCGGUAUGUAAACUUCGAAAGAAUGGGAAGAAUAAAUGACGGUACCAUUUAUAAGCUCCGGCUAACUACGUGCCAGCCGCCGCCGUAAGAC
rnacentral:rRNA from 1 species